UGAGUGGGGCUUGAACCUGCAACCCUCUGGUUACGUGGUGGGUACUUAACUUCUCUGUGACAUUCAUCCAUAACAAGCAAGGAGAAAGACAGCAUGUAUCCAAAAAGGUCUGAUUAUGUUCUGUUCUGUUUGCCUCAGCCUUGGAGGCGUCACAGAUGAUGUAUAAUUUAAGCUCUAAAAUCUUCAUCAGACAAAACAACGCCUGAUAAAUUAAACAGGGUCACAUGAUUUGAGCCUCAAAUGCUGUGGCUACAUAAUUACUAUGAUAAUGAUCCACGUUAUGGAUUCUGUACUUUUAGGCAUGAAUGUUAAUUUUUCCUAGUUUUAAUUUUAGCUGAUCACAUAAAACAAAGACAACAAAAGGGGGGGAAAGGGCAGAUCAAACAAGUAGAAUUAGCCAAAUAACAGAAUAAUAUUGCAUCUGAAGUGGCUUUAUUUGUUUUUCCAUUUUCAGAAGAUUUUUCAAUCUUUUGUUUUUGUUUCUACAGUCAUCUGUAGUUGUCUUCCUGUGCCAGUGUCAUGACCCACCGAAGCCAAGCUGCACACAAGGAGGGAUUUGUUCACACGCCUUGGCGAGGUGCUUAACAAGGGGACUUCACGCAGUUCAGUAGGACCUUUUAAAGGCUCCUGAGGGGAUAUCUGCCUCCUGAGAAACUGUACCGAGAAGCCGAGGCUCAAACAAAAGGGAUCAGCAAAGCCACACCAAAGUGAACAAUGCUUCUUUGGAGAACCAGAACACAUCAGGACUCCGGCAUGGGAGGCAGGAACAAAAGGACAUGAAACUGGAAGUGAGGAAAAACAUCUCCGCGAGAGAAAUUUGGACGAGGGGAAAGACGAUGCAAAGGAACUGAGGAGGAGAUGGAAGAUAUUGAAGCGGGGGGAAAUGGGCAGAUUUUAAUGAGGGGAACAGAGAGGCUAAAAAUGAAUGCAAAAUAUUGAAUUUAAUAGAAUGUAAUGAAACCCUGGAAGUAAAUAACAUGGUCGCUGGAUAUGUUGCUGUUUUUGCUGCAUCUGGCCAGACACUUCACUGUUUCAUUAGUACAUUUGCACCAGUCACUCUUCAUGCGACAGACUCAAAAAGGUGGAUACAUGUAUUAAUGUCCCUGCAGAAGACCAGAGAGCAUUUCAGUCUCCUCCACUGACUUAAAAAGUCUACAUCCUCACCAGAACUUCCAACAUGAGUGGCUUUAGCCUCUUGCGGUUUCAAAUCUAGUUUGUUGUCCUUUUAGGCACCUUUUCUUCCUCGUCACCGUUUUCUUUGCAGCCAUGAUGGAAAACAAAACGUUUGGGUCAUUUUUCUUUAUUCUACGUCACAAAACCCUUUUUAUUUUGUUCAAAUUCAAUAUGAUGAUAAUUUAUCCACUGCAUCACACAGUGGUCAGCCAUAUCUCGAUCUUGAUGUUUGAGAAAACACACAUACACACACACACACACGCUACAAAUGUAGAAUAAUCUCAGUGAACCUUCAACUGAACCAUGUUCAGCGCUUUGGGCUUCCUGACAGGGUUGCGGAAGGCGCUUUAUAAAUAAAGCUUUGAUUGAUUGAUUGAUUGAUUGAUUGAUUGAUUGAUUGUGUUUCUGCUGAUCUGAGCUGUACUGUGUCUGAGGGGUGGUAUAGGAUGAAAAACGAACACAUGCACACUAUUGUGUUCUGUUUACCAGGGAGUCAAUAAUACUGUCAGUUAUUAACAAAACAGAUUGCACUGUUAAUCUUCUCACAUAUCAACAUUAUUAGUAAUCAAGAUGGAAAAAUGAUACCUCCAAAGCUGGUGAAGAUAAAAGGAAACCCUAAAACAUCACAGGACAAGAUGAGCAAGAGGAGGAACUGCAUAAAAAGUAAUAAAGUCAGCAAUGAGGAAAAAUAAGUGUGAAGAACUGAAAGAGAAAAGAAAUAGUGGAAGGAGGAUAACAAGAAACUAGAGGCAGAAAAGAAAUGAUGCAUGCUGAGGGGGAAAAUGGGAAAGAGUAAAUAAGUCGACAUGAAAAAAGGAGGAGGUAAAGAAAAAAAUGAAUGAAAAAAUGCAGCAAAACAUGAAGGCAAAGAAUUAGGAGCUGCAGGGGCUCUGUAAAAAGAAAAAAGUGGUAAUGCCUCUCAUUUUUCAAGUGUUUUGACAGCUAAAGACAGACAAAGGAAGCAGAAAAAAGAAGGAAAAGUAGAGUCCCUUGAUCUGGUUACACAAGAAGUUUAACGGGGUCAGAAAGGUAGAGGAGGAUCAGGAUGGACUACAGUAGCUUCUCUUUUAUCGUCCCUUAUAGACUUGCUAAACACCUCUCCCUUCUCUUUUCAUCAUUUGCCACUUCCUUAUUACUGCCGUAGCUUUUCCAACCUAAUCAAAUUUUCUAACCUCUAAUUUUAUUUUUUUCAGGGCAGAGCGAUUGCUGAGAAAUUAGUCCGGCAGCCUCACAGAAGUCCUUUCACUUCUGAGUGUUUCUGUAUGGAGUUUGUUUUAACCACUCACAUUAAUUUUCAAACCACAAAAAAUAUGAUUUUAUGUAGAAAUGCAAAAGAACAAAAAAGCUAUUUGGCAACUGGACGGUCUAAAAAUGAAAGAAAAAUGUUGUAUCCAUGCAUCCUCUGUGAUGCUUGCUCCUCAGUAGGGUCACGGGGAUUGAUGAACACAAAUACAAUAGCCCCACAGAUGAUUUGUUUAUUUUGCAUAACAAAUUCACACCUUUUUGUAUGAAAACAUGAAAAUGUUACUUUCGUGAAAGAAAUCACUGCAUAUUUGAUCUGCUCAAAGCUUGGAGAUUUUAAUGGUUUACUAAGAAACAUAUUAUUGAAAUAUAAUUGGUCACUCUGAAUUUAAAAUGCAGGCUGAAUGUGAAAAUAGUCUUCUAAAGUAACUUUUGACGCUUGUCAAAAAUAAGCACUUACUUGGCAUCAGAAUGUCAGCAGCUCUGUGUCAACGUUAUAAAAGCAACGAGCGUCUCGGCCACGCCUUGUGGUGAGUUGGGAGUUGGAUUUGCAAGCGAGUGUAGGAGGCUAGCCGUAGUUCAGCAUUAGCAUAUAGCAUUAGCAUAUCCUAGUCUUUAGCAUAGCUUUUAGUGUUAUACAUACUUAUUUAGUGUUAGCUUGGCUGUUGGAUAUUGUAGUUUAGUUAGUGUUUGGCUGUUAGUGUAAUUGGGAAAGUAGUUCGGGUUUAGUGCUCCAUAUCGUGUUAGCAUGGUGAGAUGGUGUAGAUGGUUGCGGUGGCUCUGUGGGCAUUUUAUCCGCGAUUCUGCACGCCUCCGUUUGAAGAGGGAGGCUGUGCCCACCGUGGCUCUUCCGCGAUUUAGAUGCAGCCCACCGACUCUGCUCCCCCACCACGGCGGGCUCCAUGAGGUGAGUCAGCUAAAUAAAGUUUUAACAUCUUCUAAAGACAAUGCCCUACCUAAAUGCAAAGUCCGAGAGACGUGGUUCACUUCAUUUAGCUAGUCAGUCGGUAAUUCUGCAACAGUGUCUCUAACUAAUGCAGCACUAGUUGACAGACAGCAUUACAGCGUGAAAUCCAGCUUGUGACCUGGUUUUGUGAGGAAUUCUGUUCAGGAGGUCGCAGUUCAGGCUCUCCACAUCAUAUGUGACUGACUUUUACGUUAUAACAACGAUCACACACUAGGACUGUUAUAAAGCGCCUAUACAGGAGUUUCUUGUGUAUAUUAUCUGACUUUAUAAACUCCAACAACAAUGUGCUUCUACUUUUUUUCAGGCUAAAUCUACCCAAGACACUGGCUGUCCGACUGAUUUAGUAGUCUGCAAGAAUGCACUUGUCCAGGCUGACAUGAAGCUUUACCGGCGUAGCAAAGGUGAAUUAUUUUUAAUAAUCUUCUAUGUAAACAUUUUAUUAUUACCUUCUAGUUUUAAUUUGUUUUACAGAUUAUUGUUACACGUGAUUUUAUGCUCUUUUAAACAUUUAUAAAUGUGCUGCUUCUUUGUUUUUGUACAUAGCCAGCCAGAAGAGCUCACAGCUGCUGUGUGUCUGGUGACACAGGGACCAUGACAGAAAUUCAUCUUCCAGAAAGUCCCAGAGCAGCGUCCACACCCCCUGAAAAGACCAAGAUGUAAGGUGUCUGCUGUUGAUUCCAGCUUCCACCUCAGUGACAGUGCAAGCUCAGUGAACUGUUCAAGGAGGCUACUGAUUCUGCCCCUGUGACACUUGGUGGUGACGUGUGAGCUGAUUCACCUGGACACUCAGCAAAAUAUGGACUCUACACCAUGAGGCAGGCACACGUUAAUACUUAUAAGAGCACAUAAGGUGAGCAACACCACAUAUUAUUGUACACUGUCCUGGAUUUGUUUUCUUUCUGCAUCUCAUCAUUAGCCUGGCUGAUCACCUGAUAACUCCUGUCAUCUGGUUGUGACAGCAUGAGGAUGUCCUCACACACCUGUAACCUAUCAGCUCAUCUGGCACAAUAGAGAGAGAAGAGACAACACCACAUCUCCUGUUCCUGGAAAGCCUUCAGCCAUCCUUCGAUGACUGAGAACCUCCAUCAGCUCUGUCUCCUGUCUGCCCACAAUUAUUAUAAUAAAUAUUGUGUUUGACAAGUUU